GGAAAACCUGCAGAUGUGGAGGACAAAUGGUGGGAUUCUGACUAUUAUUCACCCAGAAUAACUUGUGCCGAGUUUGUGAAAUCAAAAGGAAAUUUGUGACUUUUUUGGACUGAACCCUCCUCUGGAGCUGAGGAUUGUGUUGAUGGAAAGAACAAAAUUAAUAGGAAUCCCCAGUGGAAAAACUUGACUGGAAACUUUAUCCUGGUUCAAAAUGUUUUUGAUACCAGCAGAAGAACAGCUAAGAAUGAAGCAACGCAGCAAGACGUUGAAUCAAACCAUUUUAGUGUUCAUUGUGGUCACUCUUUAUAGUCAUUUGAAGGACUGAACCCUCCUCUGGAGCUGAGGAUUGUGUUGAUGGAAAGAACAAAAUUAAUAGGAAUCCCCAGUGGAAAAACUUGACUGGAAACUUUAUCCUGGUUCAAAAUGUUUUUGAUACCAGCAGAAGAACAGCUAAGAAUGAAGCAACGCAGCAAGACGUUGAAUCAAACCAUUUUAGUGUUCAUUGUGGUCACUCUUUAUAGUCAUUUGAAGGUAAAAA